GUGCCAGAAAUUUCAUCACACCAGGCAGAGGGAUGGGCUAGGGGUGAGUCACAAAUGUGCUGGGCCAUGGAGGUAGGAGCUAACCAUUCCCAGAUGGGAGAAUCGGGCCCGGCAGCUUUCCUGGAAUAAGCAGUGUCAACGUAAGAAAGUCUAAACCUGUAGAGAAUUUUUUGUAAAACUUUGAGCCCAAAAGAGGAUACACCUGGAAGCAAAAGGCUAAGAUCUCAAAGACUUCAGAGAAUAACAGUUUGUAGUUUCUUUCAUACAUUUGAAAUUAAGGAGGGAACAAAAGGAAGAUUGAAGAUUACAUGGAGAUGGAAGAAAGCAAGGUUCGGACUAGGUAUGAUGGCUCCACGAUGCUCAGGGACUCCUUCUGCCCAAGUGUGACAUCUACCUGGUAUACAAGAUGGCUGAUCCAGCUCCAUGUCCACCACUAGGCCCUGCUGAGACCCCGCCCCGGAGGCGGAGGCAGGGGAAGGGGCCCAGAGCCGCC